GUCGAGUGCGCAGUCUGCUGUAGCAAUACAGCAGAUCGGCGCACGGCGCACGGGUGCGUAACACGUGGGUAACCUGCCCUCCAAAGGGGGAUAACCCGCCGAAAGGCGGGCUAAUACCGCAUGACAUUCCGGUGGCUUCGGCCGCUGGAAUCAAAGCCCGCAAGGGUGUUGGAGGAGGGGCCCGCGGCCGAUUAGCUUGUUGGCGAGGUAAUGGCUCACCAAGGCUUUGAUCGGUAGCCGGUCUGAGAGGAUGGCCGGCCACACUGGAACUGAGACACGGUCCAGACUCCUACGGGAGGCAGCAGUGGGGAAUCUUGCGCAAUGGGCGAAAGCCUGACGCAGCGACGCCGCGUGGGGGAUGAAGCUUCUCGGAGUGUAAACCCCUUUCGACCCGGACGAAACGCCCGCAAGGGCUUGACGGUACGGGUAUAAGAAGCCCCGGCUAACUACGUGCCAGCAGCCGCGGUAAGACGUAGGGGGCCAGCGUUGCUCGGAAUUACUGGGCGUAAAGGGUUCGUAGGCGGUGUGGUAAGUCGGAAGUGAAAUCUCUGGGCUUAACUCAGAGGCUGCUUUCGAAACUGCCGCGCUAGAGUGCGGGAGAGGCGAGUGGAAUUACAGGUGUAGCGGUGAAAUGCGUAGAUAUCUGUAGGAACACCCGUGGCGAAGGCGGCUCGCUGGACCGCAACUGACGCUGA
rnacentral:rRNA from 1 species